rnacentral:rRNA from 1 species
GAUGAACGCUGGCGGCGUGCUUAACACAUGCAAGUCGAACGGUGAAGCAGAGCUUGCUCUGUGGUUCAGUGGCGAACGGGUGAGUAACACGUGAGCAACCUGCCCCUGACCCUGGGAUAAGCGCUGGAAACGGCGUCUAAUACAGGAGAUGUGCUGACACCACAUGGUCGGCUGUUGGAAAGAUUAUUCGGUUUGGGAUUGGCUCCCGGCCUAUUAGCUUGUUGGUGAGGAAAUGACUCACCACGGCGUAGACGGGUAGCCGGCCGGAGAGGGUAACCGGCCACACUGGGGCUGCGAGACGGCCCAAUCUCCUACGAGAGGCAGCAGUGGCGAAUGUUGCGCUAUGGGCAGCAACCAGAUGCAGCAACGCCGCGUGGGGGGUGACUUCCUUCGGGUUGUAAACCUCUUUUGGCAGGGAAGAAGCGAAAGUGACGGUACCUGCAGAAAAAGCACCAGCUAACUACGUG